UACGAAGGGGGCUAGCGUUGCUCGGAAUUACUGGGCGUAAAGGGAGCGUAGGCGGGUUAUCAAGUUGGAGGUGAAAGCCCAGGGCUCAACCUUGGAAUUGCCUUCAAAACUGAUAACCUAGAGGAUAGAAGAGGUAAGUGGAACUCCGAGUGUAGAGGUGAAAUUCGUAGAUAUUCGGAAGAACACCAGUGGCGAAGGCGACUUACUGGUCUAUUACUGACGCUGAGGCUCGAAAGCGUGGGGAGCAAACAGG
rnacentral:rRNA from 2 species